CCUACGGGAGGCAGCAGUGGGGAAUCUUCCGCAAUGGGCGAAAGCCUGACGGAGCAACGCCGCGUGAGUGAAGAAGGUCUUCGGAUCGUAAAGCUCUGUUGACGGGGACGAACGUACGGAGUGCGAAUAGUGCUCUGUAAUGACGGUACCUGUCGAGGAAGCCACGGCUAACUACGUGCCAGCAGCCGCGGUAAUACGUAGGUGGCGAGCGUUGUCCGGAAUCAUUGGGCGUAAAGGGAGCGCAGGCGGGCAUGUAAGUCUUUCUUAAAAGUGCGGGGCUCAACCCCGUGAUGGGAAAGAAACUAUAUGUCUUGAGUACAGGAGAGGAAAGCGGAAUUCCCAGUGUAGCGGUGAAAUGCGUAGAUAUUGGGAGGAACACCAGUGGCGAAGGCGGCUUUCUGGACUGCAACUGACGCUGAGGCUCGAAAGCCAGGGGAGCAAACAGGAUUAGAUACCCCGGUAGUC
rnacentral:rRNA from 1 species